CAAUAGCGUAUAUUAAAGUUGUUGCAGUUAAAAAGCUCGUAGUUGGAUUUGUGGCUGUCACGGGCGGCCUAUCACUUAGUGUUAGUGCUUGCCUGUGUCGCCAUCCUUGGGUGGAGCCCGUGUGGCAUUAGGUUGUCGUGCGGGGGAUGCCCAUCGUUUACUGUGAGAAAAUUAGAGUGUUCAAAGCAGGCUUAUGCCGUUGAAUAUGUUAGCAUGGAAUAAUAAGAUAGGACCUCGGUACUAUUUUGUUGGUUUGCGCACCGGGGUAAUGAUUAAUAGGGACAGUUGGGGGUAUUCGUAUUUCAUUGUCAGAGGUGAAAUUCUUGGAUUUCUGAAAGACGAACUACUGCGAAAGCAUUUACCAAGGAUGUUUUCAUUAA
rnacentral:rRNA from 1 species